AACAUGUGGGACUGUGUCGGCAAAGUCCUGGCAGUAGGAGGAACUUGUGGAGUUUCAUUUGUAUGUUGGAUGCAAUCACCAACUUUUGGUUGCAGAUGUUUUGUUUCGACGCUGAAAAGCUUUGGAACAAUCACCUCAGCCCUCAGUUCCACGUUGGCGGUCACAGGAUAAGCGUAGAUUUUUCGCUCGAAUAACUUCAUAAUUUGAAUUCACGUAAUACAUCCUCAAACUGGGAUUUUACUGCUUUCGUUCAAAGGGGUGAAACAUAACGGGUGGAGAUAUAAAAGCGAGUGAGGUGAUUUUACAAAGUGAAUUGUUCUCCAAAGUGAAACGUACAAACAACUUGCAAGCCUACCUAGUGCAUUAGAAAUUGUCUACAUCUAGAGAGCUAUUACUGAGAAAGCCGAUGAUGGAUAUUCUCUUUCCUGAGUAUCCGUGGAAAUUGAUUUAAUCAACUUUAUCGUGACGUCGAAGAACGAGUACUAACAAAUAAUUUAAAUACUUGAAUCCCAUAUUGACUAUAACAACUUUUCCUUUAUUAAACAUUAAUAUCGAUCAAAGAA